rnacentral:rRNA from 1 species
GAUCCUGGCUCAGGAUGAACGCUAGCGACAGGCUUAACACAUGCAAGUCGAGGGGCAGCGGGGUGUAGCAAUACACCGCCGGCGACCGGCGCACGGGUGAGUAACGCGUAUGCAACUUGCCUAUCAGAGGGGGAUAACCCGACGAAAGUCGGACUAAUACCGCAUGAAGCAGGGAUCCCGCAUGGGAAUAUUUGCUAAGAUUCAUCGCUGAUAGAUAGGCAUGCGUUCCA